rnacentral:rRNA from 1 species
GUAGAGAUUUUGAAUCCAGGCGAUACGUAUUAAGGGACUUCGAGUGUGGGUUACUAAGCUGGCUGGUGGGAGGCCUAAAUAGCAGUCAAUACUAGGACGGAGCAAUACCAGGAACCAGCCGCCGAGGUAACACCAGCGGCUCGAGUGGUAACCGCUAUUAUUUGGGUUAAAGGGUCUGAAGCCGGCUGGUUAAGUCUCUUGGAAAUCGGGCCCUCUUAAGGGUCAGGAUGCCAGGAGAUACUGACUGGCUUGGGACCGGGAGAGGUGAGAGGUACCUUCAGGGGUAGGGGUGAAAAUCUUGUAAUACUUGAGGGACCACCAGUGGCGAAGGCGUCUCACCAGAACGGAUCCGACGGCAAGGGACGAAAGCUAGGGGCACGAACCGGAUUAGAUACCCGGGUAGUCCUAGCCGUAAACGAUACUCGCUAGGUGUCGGCCACGGUGCGACCGUGGUCGGUGCCGUAGGGAAGCCGUGAAGCGAGCCACCUGGGAAGUACGGCCGCAAGGCUGAAACUUAAAGGAAUUGGCGGGGGAG